rnacentral:rRNA from 1 species
GUCCACCCGUAAACGUUGGGAACUAGUUGUGGGUCCAUUCCACGGAUUCCGUGACGCAGCUAACGCAUUAAGUUCCCCGCCUGGGGAGUACGGCCGCAAGGCUAAACUCAAAGGAAUUGACGGGACCCGCACAAGCGGCGGAGCAUGCGGAUUAAUUCGAUGCAACGCGAAGAACCUUACCAAGGCUUGACAUAUACGAGAACGGGCUAGAAAUAGUCAACUCUUUGGACACUCGUAAACAGGUGGUGCAUGGUUGUCGU